GCCGCGAUGAUGUCUCUUGACACGUGUUAGACUGCUGAUGUGCAUGAAGCAAACCUACUACUGAGC
ensembl:snoRNA small nucleolar RNA, C/D box 104